rnacentral:rRNA from 1 species
CACGCAGGCGGUGAGAUAAGUCAGAUGUGAAAUCCCCGGGCUCAACCCGGGAGCUGCAUUUGAAACUGUGUCACUGGAGUCUCGUAGAGGGGGUAGAAUUCCACGUGUAGCGGUGAAAUGCGUAGAGAUGUGGAGGAAUACCGGUGGCGAAGGCGGCCCCCGUCGGACGAAGACUGACGCUCAUGUGCGAAAGCGUGGGUAGCAAACA